rnacentral:rRNA from 1 species
UACGUAGGGGGCAAGCGUUGUCCGGAUUUAUUGGGCGUAAAGAGCGUGUAGGCGGCUGGUAGGUCCGUUGUGAAAGUCGGGGGCUCAACCCUCGGAUGCCGGUGGAUACUGUCGGGCUUGAGUACGGAAGAGGCGAGUGGAAUUCCUGGUGUAGCGGUGAAAUGCGCAGAUAUCAGGAGGAACACCAAUUGCGAAGGCAGCUCGCUGGGACGUUACUGACGCUGAGACGCGAAAGCGUGGGGAGCAAACAGG